rnacentral:rRNA from 1 species
CAAUGCUCGCAAGAGUGAACUAGCUAACUGAAAUCACAUGAUCCUCUACGUGUGGUGAAUGUAAUAACGUAAGGGAAAAAAAUGAUAUUACCUUACUAUUAGUGUUGUCCAAAACUGGUGCCAGAAGACUCGGUAAGGCCAGAGACGCAAACGUUAGUCGUCCUAAUCAGGCGUAAAGGGUAUGUAGGCUGCUUUAAAAGUUUUAUAAUUAGUAGCUAUGUAUAAAAAUAACUAAUUUUUCUUAAAUUAUUUAAUUAUACAGUAAAUAUAAAAUGAAUUGAAGCUAGAAUCAAAUUGAGGAUAAGUCAAAUAAUACCUAGUGUAGGGUUUGAAUCUGAUGAUAUUAGGUAGAGUACUAACGGUGAAAGCUUUUUAUCUAGAAAUGAUUGACGCUGAGAAACGAAGGUGAGAAUAGGAAAUAGGAUUAGAUACCCAGAUACCUCUCACAGUCAACGAUGAAUGGUGGUUGUUAGUUAGUUUAUAUUUAACUGAUAACGAUGUUAACACGAUAACCAUUCCGCCUUGCGAGUACGGUUGCAAAACUGAAACCAAAAAAAUUAGUCGGUCUCGAAGCAAACGGAGUGAAGCAUGUUAUUUAAUUCGAUAAUCCGC